UACGUAGGCAGCAAGCGUUGUUCGGAGUUACUGGGCGUAAAGGGUGUGUAGGUGGCGCCGUAAGUCGGGUGUGAAAUUUCGGAGCUUAACUCCGAAACUGCAUUCGAUACUGCGGUGCUUGAGGACUGGAGAGGAGACUGGAAUUUACGGUGUAGCAGUGAAAUGCGUAGAUAUCGUAAGGAAGACCAGUGGCGAAGGCGGGUCUCUGGACAGUUCCUGACGCUGAGGCACGAAGGUCAGGGGAGCAAACGGG
rnacentral:rRNA from 1 species